rnacentral:lncRNA from 1 species
GGAAUCACUUGUGGAGCACCUGACCACCCCCCAGCUCCAUCCUCGGUGGUGUGAUCCAGAGGACGGGAACGUUCCUCUCUGCAGCUCCGAAAUGCGCAUGACACGAUCAUACCCAUAAAACCGAGGCGCUAAAGAUGCAGCACCUAGCACCUAACUUAGAGGUCCUAGGCAGCGUGAGAGCCCAGCACCAGAGCUUCAUCCUCCUAAGAAAUUCUCUUGACAAGAGGAUGCUGCUAUAGGCAAGCCUCACUUUGGGGAUUCCAGUUUAAGUGGCUGAGAAGAGAGAGGUUGCUCACCGGGAAGGUAUCUUUGAAUAUCUUAAGCAGCUGAUGUCUAUCACUGUUUACUUUAGGUGCACUUGAGCAAUAGAUAGUUAAAUUCCCAAGGUGAAAA